AAUCUUGCGCAAUGGGCGAAAGCCUGACGCAGCCACGCCGCGUGCCGGAAGACGGCCCUAUGGGUUGUAAACGGCUUUUGCCAGGGAAGAAAGCCUGGGGUUCGCCCUAGAUUGACGGUACCUGGUGAAUAAGCACCGGCUAACUCCGUGCCAGCAGCCGCGGUAAUACGGAGGGUGCAAGCGUUGUCCGGAAUCAUUGGGUGUAAAGGGUGCGUAGGCGGACUGCUAAGUCUGGGGUGAAAUCUUGCCGCUUAACGGUAAAAUGGCCUUGGAUACUGGCAGUCUUGAGUGUAGAAGAGGUAAGUGGAAUUCGUAGUGUAGCGGUGAAAUGCAUAGAUAUUACGAAGAACAUCAGUGGCGAAGGCGGCUUACUGGUCUACAACUGACGCUGAGGCACGAAAGCGUGGGGAGCGAACAGGAUUAGAUACCCUGGUAGUCCACGCCGUA
rnacentral:rRNA from 1 species